UAGUCCACGCCGUAAACGAUGUGUGCUAGUUGUUGGGAGUCUUAGACUUUCGGUGACGCAGCUAACGCAUUAAGCACACCGCCUGGGGAGUACGGUCGCAAGAUUAAAACUCAAAGGAAUUGACGGGGACCCGCACAAGCGGUGGAGCAUGUUGUUUAAUUCGAAGCAACGCGCAGAACCUUACCUACCCUUGACAUGCCGGUCGCGAUUUCCAGAGAUGGAUUUCUUCAAUUCGGUUGGACCGUGCACAGGUGCUGCAUGGCUGUCGUCAGCUCGUGUCGUGAGAUGUUCGGUUAAGUCCGGCAACGAGCGCAACCCACAUCCUUAGUUGCCAGCAGUUCGGCUGGGCACUCUAGGGAAACUGCCCGUGAUAAGCGGGAGGAAGGGUGUGGAUGACGUCAAGUCCUCAUGGCCCUUACGGGGUUGGGGCUACACACGUGCUACAAUGGCAACUACAGUGGGUUAAUCCCCAAAAGUUGUCUCAGUUCGGAUUGUCGUCUGCAACUCGAC
rnacentral:rRNA from 1 species